rnacentral:rRNA from 1 species
AGUGAACGCUGGCGGUAGGCCUAACACAUGCAAGUCGAACGGCAGCACAGUAAGAGCUUGCUCUUACGGGUGGCGAGUGGCGGACGGGUGAGGAAUACAUCGGAAUUUACUUUUUCGUGGGGGAUAACGUAGGGAAACUUACGCUAAUACCGCAUACGACCUACGGGUGAAAGCAGGGGAUCUUCGGACCUUGCGCGAUUGAAUGAGCCGAUGUCGGAUUAGCUAGUUGGCGGGGUAAAGGCCCACCAAGGCGACGAUCCGUAGCUGGUCUGAGAGGAUGAUCCGGCACCCUGGAACUGAGACACGGCCCAGACUCCUAAAGGAGGACGCAGUGGGGACUCUUGCACAAUGGAGGAAAGCCGAAUCCAGCCAUACCGCGUGGGUGAAGAAGGCCUUAGGGUUGUAAAGCCCUUUUGUUGGGAAAGAAAAGCAGCAGGUUAAUACCCCGCUGUUCUGACGGUACCCAAAGAAUAAGCACCGGCUAACUUCGUG